AAAUUUUUGUAUGUGGUGAUUUUGAAUUUGUACUAUUGGAACAAGUGUGUGAUGGAAUCAUUGAUUGUGCUGACUUCAGUGACGAGCUACAGUCUUGCCCUUGUAGUGACGGCAGUUUUCAGUGUGCGAAUGGUGUCUGUAUUGCCGCUGAGAAACGAUGUGACCGAGAAAAUAACUGUCUCGAUUGGUCAGAUGAACAAGGCUGCUGGAAUGUUACUUCUGAAAAAUGUGGAUCACAACCUUUCUUACCUGCUGAAGAUAG